rnacentral:rRNA from 1 species
GAUGAACGCUGGCGGCGUGCCUAAUACAUGCAAGUCGAGCGAACAGACGAGGAGCUUGCUCCUCUGACGUUAGCGGCGGACGGGUGAGUAACACGUGGAUAACCUACCUAUAAGACUGGGAUAACUUCGGGAAACCGGAGCUAUACCGGGAAAUAUAUUGGACCGCCUGGGUCAAUAGGUAAAGGCGGGUUUUGUUUUCACUAUAGAUGGAUUCGGGCCGGCUUAGCUUGGUGGUAAGGUAACGGCUUACCAAGGCAACGAUGCGUAGCCGACCUGAGAGGGUGAUCGGCCACACUGGAACUGAGACACGGUCCAGACUCCUACGGGUGGCAGCAGUAGGGAAUCUUCCGCAAUGGGCGAAAGCCUGACGGAGCAACGCCGCGUGAGUGAUGAAGGUCUUCGGAUCGUAAAACUCUGUUAUUAGGGAAGAACAAAUGUGUAAGUAACUAUGCACGUCUUGACGGUACCUAAUCAGAAAGCCACGGCUAACUACGUG